rnacentral:rRNA from 1 species
UACGUAGGGUGCAAGCGUUGUCCGGAAUUAUUGGGCGUAAAGAGCUCGUAGGCGGUCUGUCGCGUCGGAUGUGAAAACCCAGGGCUCAACCCUGGGCCUGCAUUCGAAUACGGGCAGACUAGAGUUCGGUAGGGGAGACUGGAAUUCCUGGUGUAGCGGUGAAAUGCGCAGAUAUCAGGAGGAACACCGAUGGCGAAGGCAGGUCUCUGGGCCGAUAUUGACGCUGAGGAGCGAAAGCGUGGGGAGCGAACAGG